AGGCCAAGUUAGCUAAACAUAAUGGAGUAAUGGCAUCUUUGUACAGUUCACGAGUGGCAGAUGAUAACCUUACCCUGGAAUUGUCUUUAGACAUUAAUCGAAAGUUGCAGGCUGUACUGGAGGAUGCACUGUUGAAAAAUAUUACUCUAAAAGAAAAUGUUGAUACCCUUGGAUCCGAAAUUGAAAAACUCAAUAAAUUGAGAACAUAAUUUUUGCGAGAAUAUUAUAAGUGAAAUAUAAAUGAUGAUCCAAUUGCAUUUCAUUAAAGGAAGGAAUUUUGUGGAUCGUGAAUAUAUUGAAUACACCCAUUUGUAUAUAUUUCAUGUUGAAUAAUAUUUUAACCAUUUUGUAAAUAUUGUAUGUAUCAUCCUCUAUUGCAUUAAAUAUCUCUAUUAUUCA